ensembl:lncRNA
AUAGCCAAUGUUAGAAACCAGGCUUUGGGCCUGGUCAUGUGUAGUUGGGGACACGGCCCCAGGGAGGGGCAGAGUUGGGCAUGGACUCCCCGUCCAGUGCUCCUCUUAUUCUGCCGCCAGCCUCAGCAAGUGGAGGGAGCAAUCACAAGUGACCCUGUCCCCCAGGGACUUGGCUCCUGACCUCUGAGUCUUCCAAGGUCUCUGGGGAUGGAGGUGGGUCUGGGCCAAUGCUCCCCCUACUCUCUAGAGGCCUCUUCCCUCAUCCCCUCUAAGCUGGGCUCUAGUCAGCAGCUAGAGUGAUCUCUCAGAACCUUCCCAGAGAGGGCCUGCCUCCGCCCAGCGUCACACAGCUCAGUCUGGAGCCCUCGGAGUCACCGCUGCAGGGAUGUCCCAGGUGUGGCCCAGAGCCGAAGACUGCAUCCUGGGUGUCAGCCUAAGGAAUGUUGCCCGCCAUCAAGCCUUCAGCCACUGCAGCCACCCCUACGGUGUGCCAUGAGGGAUUUUCAAGCUGGAGAAAAACUGGACACUGGCCUUAUAUAGUUAAGAUGCGUUUGUUGCUGUUCAGUCGCUAAGUUGUGUUUGACUCUUUGCAGUCCCAUGGGCUGCAGCCUGCCAGGAUCCCCGUUCCUCACUAUCUCCUAGAGUUUGCCCAAGUUCAUGGGCAAGGUUGCUCAGGAUGCCUAUCUGAGGAAUAACUUCAGUGAGCCCAGACUCUUGCGUGUCCAGCACUAAAAUCAUUAACUUGAGGUGUCUGUUUUUUAUGGUUAGCAGUCAUCUUUUGAUGUUCGACUACAUGUUUUUUAUUUUUGCAAAAACUCAUAUGUAUUAAUAUAUGGUGGUAGUGGUUGUUUUUGCCAAGUCAUGUCCGACUCCGUGGACUGUAGCCUGCCAGGCUCCUCUGUCCAUGGAUUUCGCAGGCAAGAAUACUGGAGUGGGUAGCCAUUUCCUUCUCCAGAGGAUCGUCUCAACCCAGGGACUGAGCUCACCUCUAUAUUUACGGGGUUUCCCAGGUGGCGCUAGUGUUAAAGAACCUUCCUGCCAACAUAGGAG